CCAAUCCUGAGCCAUGUGAUCUGCUUCCUUCUGGCCUCCAUGUCACAUGGAUUCAGGAAGAAAUCUGAGUUCUAAUAGUAAUAUUGGAGAUGCAGGGAGAACUUCUUUAUUCACAUAUUGCAUUGUUUUACAAAUGGAACCUGCGAGUCUAUGGAUGCCAUCUUUUUAACAUGGUCUGGAACUGAACCUACAAUAUUUCUGAGAAAAUUGACUUUGCUUCUUUGAGAACAGCAUGGUGAGUCUACUAUCCUUGACUUUUCAUCAAUUUGUUUCAUCACUAAAGUAUUUCAAGUUGCUGUCUACGUCAAGGCAAGAAAUUCUGUAGGGUUUCAGCUGAAAAAUCAGAAGCCACACAGGCUUGCUGGAACACACAGCUGCAUUUCCAGCUCUGAUUUUAAAUGUGCUCUAUCUGGAUCCAUAUUCUGCACAAUCUGCCUCUUGUGAUGAAGAUGAAAAUGGUUACCUUAAAGUUCUCUUCGGGUGAAGAUAAACUCCAUGGGUAAUUCUGAAGAUUAAAUGAGCUAAGAGAUUUAUGGCAUCUGUUGCUAACUAAUGUUAGUUCUUGUCCUCUUUGCAUUUUUUUCCUUUUUGAUUGAUAAUGUGACUUAAUAGCCUUUUAAAAAUCUGAUUCUCAAAGCUUGUGCAUAGUAGGACACAUAUU
rnacentral:lncRNA from 10 species